AGAAAUAUAAAGAAUAUGCUAAAGCCGCUAACUUUAAGUAAUAGCGGUUAAACUCCGUUAAUAUUUCUA
rnacentral:tRNA from 1 species